GCCCUUGUAGUAUAAACAUUACCCCGGUCUUGUAAACCAGAAAUGAGGUACAAACCCCUCCCAGGGCA
rnacentral:tRNA from 2 species